CAAUAGCGUAUAUUAAAGUUGUUGCGGUUAAAAAGCUCGUAGUUGGAUUUCUGCUGAGAACGACCGGUCCGCCCUUUGGGUGUGUAUCUGGCUCUUUCUUGGCAUCUUCUUGGUGAACGUUGCUGCACUUGACUGUGUGGAGCGCUACCCAGGACUUUUACUUUGAGGAAAUUAGAGUGUUUCAAGCAGGCAUACGCCUUGAAUACAUUAGCAUGGAAUAAUAAGAUAGGACCUCGGUUCUAUUUUGUUGGUUUCUAGAGCUGAGGUAAUGAUUAAUAGGGAUAGUUGGGGGCAUUCGUAUUUAACUGUCAGAGGUGAAACUCUUGGAUUUGUUAAAGACGGACUACUGCGAAAGCAUUUGCCAAGGAUGUUUUCAUUGA
rnacentral:rRNA from 1 species